UGGAUGGUUGGCCGAGUGGUCGAAGGCAUCUGCUCCGAAACCAGAAGGCCCGUGAGGGUCCGCAGGUUCGAAUCCUGCACCAUCCGCUUG
rnacentral:tRNA from 1 species